UAGGAAUCAGACACCCUGAAAUGUGUUCUCAAUCCUCAAGAGGAAACCUGAAUGAUAGAAGGCCCCCAAAAUACAACGCUGGGCCCAGCAGUCCUAAGAUACAGACAGUCUCGGAGGAAACAGUAGUCUUCAGUCAUGGGUCAGCUGGACCUCUUCACUUGAUUGUCUACCUCUGUGAUUUUCCUGUUUUGUGGGAGCUGAGGAUCUGAAGACUCCAGGCUUGGACAGUGUCUUAGUCAGUGUUUUAUUGCUAUGGAGAGAUGCUAUGACUACAGCAAUUCUUUUUUUUUUUCUUAAUUUUUAAAGAAAAUAUAUUUCUUACACAAGACAAUCCAAACUGAUGCAAAAUAUUUAUUCCACAUUAGUUAUUUUAUACCCUCAACAGACUCGUGGUAAUCACAUCUUUUAAAUCUGUAAAUAAU
rnacentral:lncRNA from 1 species